CAGCAGUUCAAGUCGCAUCCCUUUUUAUUGGGUCUAAAACAUCCGUAGCUUGUCGAGUAAGUCUCUUGUGAAAUCCCACGUCUCAAGCGUGGGGCUUGCAGGAGAUACUGCACGGCUAGAGAUCGGUAGACGUAAGCAGUACGCCGGAGGUAAUGGUAAAAUAUGUUAAUCUUCGGUGGACUAACAAUGAGCGAAGGCAGCUUACGAGGACGAAUCUGACAGUCAGGGAUGAAGGCCAGGGGCGCAAAACGGAUUAGAUACCCGUGUAGUCCUGGCAGUAAACACUGUUCACUAAACAUCGGGCCCUCUUCGGGAGGAUUCGGUGCUGAAGCGAAGGCGAAGAGUGAACUACCUGGGAAGUAUAGUCGCAAGAUCGAAACUUAAAGGAAUUGGCGGGGAGACAUACAACGAGUGACGCGUGCGGUUCAAUUAGAUUCUACACCGUGAACCUCACCAGGAGCGACAGCAGGAUGAAGGUCAGUCUGAAGGGCUUACCUGACACGCUGAGCGGAGAUGCAUGGCCGACGUCAGCCUGUGCUGUGAAGUGACCUGUUAAAUCAGGUAACAGGCGAGACCCGUAUCGAUAAUUACUACAGAAAUGGGUACUUUAUCGAGACUGCCUUGGUAACAAGGAGGAAGGUGCGGGCUACGUUAGGUGAGUACAUCCCUAAUCCCCUGGGCUACACGCGCGCGGCAAUGGUACAUUCAAAUGGAUGCGACUCCGAGAGGAGAAGCUAAUCCCCUAAAGUGUAUCUUAGUCCAGAUUGAGGGUUGCAACCCACCCUCAUGACGCUGGAAUUCGUAGUAAUCGGAUAUUAGCAUUGUCCGGUGAAUAAGUCCCUGUCUCUU
rnacentral:rRNA from 1 species